GAUGAACGCUGGCGGCGUGCCUAAUACAUGCAAGUCGAGCGAACGGACGAGAAGCUUGCUUCUCUGAUGUUAGCGGCGGACGGGUGAGUAACACGUGGAUAACCUACCUAUAAGACUGGGAUAACUUCGGGAAACCGGAGCUAAUACCGGAUAAUAUUUUGAACCGCAUGGUUCAAAAGUGAAAGACGGUCUUGCUGUCACUUAUAGAUGGAUCCGCGCUGCAUUAGCUAGUUGGUAAGGUAACGGCUUACCAAGGCAACGAUGCAUAGCCGACCUGAGAGGGUGAUCGGCCACACUGGAACUGAGACACGGUCCAGACUCCUACGGGAGGCAGCAGUAGGGAAUCUUCCGCAAUGGGCGAAAGCCUGACGGAGCAACGCCGCGUGAGUGAUGAAGGUCUUCGGAUCGUAAAACUCUGUUUUUAGGGAAGAACAUAUGUGUAAGUAACUGUGCACAUCUUGACGGUACCUCAUCAGAAAGCCCCGGCUAACUACGUGCCCGCAGCCGCGGUAAUACGUAGGUGGCAAGCGUUCUCCGGAAUUAUUGGGCGUAAAGCGCGCGUAGCGGUUUUUUAAGUCUGAUGUGAAAGCCCACGGCUCAACCGUGGAGGGUCAUUGGAAACUGGAAAACUUGAGUGCAGAAGAGGAAAGUGGAAUUCCAUGUGUAGCGGUGAAAUGCGCAGAGAUAUGGAGGAACACCAGUGGCGAAGGCGACUUUCUGGUCUGUAACUGACGCUGAUGUGCGAAAGCGUGGGGAUCAAACAGGAUUAGAUACCCUGGUAGCCCACGCCAUAAACGAUGAGUGCUAAGUGUUAGGGGGUUUCCGCCCCUUAGUGCUGCAGCUAACGCAUUAAGCACUCCGCCUGGGGAGUACGACCGCAAGGUUGAAACUCAAAGGAAUUGACGGGGACCCGCACAAGCGGUGGAGCAUGUGGUUUAAUUCGAAGCAACGCGAAGAACCUUACCAAAUCUUGACAUCCUUUGACAACUCUAGAGAUAGAGCCUUCCCCUUCGGGGGACAAAGUGACAGGUGGUGCAUGGUUGUCGUCAGCUCGUGUCGUGAGAUGUUGGGUUAAGUCCCGCAACGAGCGCAACCCUUAAGCUUAGUUGCCAUCAUUAAGUUGGGCACUCUAAGUUGACUGCCGGUGACAAACCGGAGGAAGGUGGGGAUGACGUCAAAUCAUCAUGCCCCUUAUGAUUUGGGCUACACACGUACUACAAUGGACAAUACAAAGGGCAGCGAAACCGCGAGGUCAAGCAAAUCCCAUAAAGUUGUUCUCAGUUCGGAUUGUAGUCUGCAACUCGACUACAUGAAGCUGGAAUCGCUAGUAAUCGUAGAUCAGCAUGCUACGGUGAAUACGUUCCCGGGUCU
rnacentral:rRNA from 1 species